rnacentral:lncRNA from 1 species
UCUUAAUUUUGAGGAGAGAUUGCAUCUUCAAAGGUAUUGAAGAAUACAGAUCCCAAAGAUACUGCAGCCUGACUCUGGUUUGAUUCUUAGAGGAACUGCUUGUCUUUCAAGUAGCUGCAAUCAGCUCCCAAGGCUUUAUAUAAUGCGGCAGCAAACUCAGAAUACGGUGCAUAAAGUUUUCAUAGCUGCAUUAGACUGGAAAACAUCCUGGCCCGCAUUCCAACUCCUGCCAUCUCCAGUUCUGCUGCUGAGAGCUCCCAACCUCAGUCUCGGUGACAGCUAAGGACAAACGUGAUGCUGUUGCCUGUGUUUUCCUUAGAACCACAGAAUGGCUUGAGUUGGAAGGGACCUCAGUCAUUAUCCAGUUCCACUCCUACACCAUGGGCAGGGUUGCCAACUUACUCAGGCAUCUUUAUGGGCACAGAGCAGCAUAUGCCUCUGCCCUUCACAAUGACUUUCUUCAAGCACUUGCAUUUGAAUGUUGCUUUCCCCUUUCUGGAUGAUUAUCUGUCCUCUGCUGUAAGGAGAUGAAGACAUAUACCAUUCUGAACCACAUUUGAGGGUGUUUCCAACUAAGCUUGGUGAGGGAUGAAGCUAUAAGGACUCAUUGCCAAGAAAUGCUAGUGGAUACACACCUUCACCCCUCUUGCAGAGAACUAUUGAUGGGCUCACGUGGCUGAGAUAUUUAUGAAGAAACUUCUUGUACAAGAGGAGGUUUAUUCCUCAGAGAAUGAAUCAAUCCAGGAUUGUCACUUCUAGAUUGAAAUACGCCAAGAUGAAUAUCUCUUCCACUUCAUACUGUUAUCACUCUUUGUUACCAACUUAUUAUGGACUACAGGUAGCAAGUGCUUCUGGACUUACAGCAAUACACCAAAGGUGUCAGAUGGCCAGGAGCUUCCAACCAGACCCUGCAUGAUUUGAGUGGCCCAAUGGAUUGUUUUGGUUCUACUUGUGAGCUAUUUUGAAAUAUUACAGUGUCCAUUACCGCAGUAUUAGCACUUCACUGUCCUUAAUGCUGUUUAAUCCAUCAGUUUUAGAGUCCCAAACCAAGGACUCCCUGCCAGCAGUCACCGCUACCGAUGCAGUGCACACUGUCAGAUUGCAACCUUGGCCAUAACAAGGUCAUGUAAUAAAGCACAUGACAGAGGAAAGACUGUAAUAAUAAUUAUUUCCAUUGUGUAUAAUAAAUAAUAUAAUAAAGCUUAGUUGUAAGCAUUAGAAGAGCCGUGAAAGUCAAGGCAGAUCUUUUGUGUUUGAUUCUCUCCUUCUGUGUACAGAAAUAAGAAAAAAAAAAAGGAAAAGAAUUGGUAGAAUGUUCCAGCUAAAGCAGAGCUGGUUCCAGAGAAGCUGAGAAAGAAAUGAGAUGGUGUCUCAACUAUGGCAAUGCAGAAUAGAAACUUAAUAUUUGUUCUGCAGUUUGUGUUCUGCGUUACUUUACUUUAAGGGACUGGGAAGUGUUUGAUUGAAAAAGGACUCCUUUCCCAGGGUGUAUCACUCAUCCAGAUUUCCCUUUGUAACUCGGGGUACUCAAAGUCAUUUCUUCCACCAAAAUCUGUCUGAUAUCUCUGUCUUUCUGGAGCUUCACACAUGACUGGAAAUCAAGCAUUCAAGGCAAAUACUACAGUUAAGUAUUAAACCUGACAGUUUUAUAUGUCUAGUACAAUAAUUGAUUCCAUGUUAUGCUAACCUACUCCACAGGUUAAAGCAGUGAGGGACAGCUCCAUCUCAUACAGGAGUCCCUGAAUUAUUAUUUUUAAGGUAUUUAAAAGCACCGAGGCAAUUCACAUUUCUAUUUUAUAAGCAUUUGUAUGGUUGAAGAAUAGAAUACAGGGAGCACUUGCA